CCACAUAUGGACUACAUACACAAAGUUAACCCAAAUUUGAAGGGGGGCAUGUGCACGCCCUGCUCAUUCCACUUUCAUACCCCUGUGCACAUAUAGUAGGCUAUGGUCGGAUGGCUGACUUCACGGUCGGUUGGAAAGCCUUGUCCUAUGUCUUCACACAAACGCUUCAGUUUAAAGAAUGUCUUGCUGCGCUUGGCGCAAUGAAAAUAUACAACUUUCAGCAACGGAUCUCUUGGCUCUCGCAUCGAUGAAGAACGCAGCGAAAUGCGAUAAGUAAUGUGAAUUGCAGAAUUCAGUGAAUCAUCGAAUCUUUGAACGCACCUUGCGCUCCUUGGUAUUCCGAGGAGCAUGCCUGUUUGAGUGUCAUGGAACUCUCAACCUUCAACGCUUUUGCGAGUGACGAAGGCUUGGACUUGGAGGUCGUGUUGGCGCAAGUCAACUCCUCUGAAAUGCAUUAGUGUGAACCUCACGGAUCGCCUUCAGCGUGAUAAUUAUCUGCGCUGUGGACGUUGAAGUGUUUUUGUGUUCGUGCUUCUAACUGUCCGCGAGGACAAGCAAAACAUUUGACAAUCUGACCUCAA
rnacentral:rRNA from 1 species